CUGGUACCGUGACCCUUGUGCCCCUGCCUCCUGUGGCUCUGUCCCUUGUCUUGGUUCAUUCCGACCUCACCAGGGUGAUGGCAUUGGAGUGGGGCCUGCGGGCUAAGGAUUUGAACACAAGCAAAUGAACGAUGAAAAUCCACUUUCUGGUGCUCUUUGUGCUUCAGGACACAGAAUCAUCUUGGGCAAAGUAUAUGAAGAUAGAGGCAAGCCACUUCAGAUCCAGGAACUUGGGUACCAUCGUUCAUGUCCAAGGCAGUCGAGACCUACCAGUGACAGAUACCUGAGAAUAAAUCCCAUAGGUACCCUCCUCUCUCCCGGCUCCCUUCCUCCUAGAUGA
rnacentral:lncRNA from 1 species